UAACGGACAUGGAAACGGUUGGUUAAGAAGAGAAGAAUAGACGAAAUACUUGGCCAAACUCAUCUAUUUUUCCCUUCCCAGAAUCCUUGGAGAACCCUGAAUUCUUCUUUCCUCGUAGACAUCAGGAAACGAACUCUUCCCGCUGCUCCGCCAAGAAGAAGAUCGGAUUUGUGGAUCAAAUUCUCGAUUAUAUUGAAGGGGGUCCCAAGUUAAGUAAAUGGUAUGGGGCACCUGAUCUACUACCGAAAGAUGGAUCUAUCGUGGAAGGGGAGUAGGAUUAUCCCGAAGAUAAAGUCAGGGAUGCAGAUUUAUUAACAGCUGGGAGUACUGAAAUUGGGCAAGUAAGUUUUUUCGUUUCAUGUACGAUCUUAUAGUCUUUUUAACUCCCUGACGGUUAAUGCAUUUUGAGCUUGAUUGUGACUUUUAUAUAUGUAUAUGGUGAUAUUGUCAUUGAUUGUCAAACGAACUUGAAUAAAAGCAUUGGUGAAGGAUAAGCGUGCAGCUAAUGAGGCAUUUGGAGCUUAUGUUGAGUAAAUUUCUGGAGAUAAAAGUAACAAGAUAUUUGUAAAGAAAGCUCUCCGAGGAGUUCGCUCAAUCAUAUGGCCAAAUUUUCUCCAUCUUUUCCAUUAGGAUAUUCUUAGUGAGACAGAUAGAGAACUGGAGAUUCCAAAUGGUUGAGUAAAACUUGCAGACUACAUAAAACUCGGAGCUUAACUCUGUAGUCGGUUCAUGCAGCAACCAUUAAGAGGUGGCUUUUAGCAGGUUUCUUAUCUAGUAUUGAAAGCUUGAAAGGUGUUGAAUAUAUAAUUCUCUUGUUUUAGGUUGCAGUUGUCUGUUUAUGGAGCUAGCAGUGGCAUUCAAGCUCUCAUGACAAACAAUCCGAGAAAAUUAGCUGAGAAAGAUGAAACGAUAUUGAUGGCUUGAGGAAUUCCAUAUACCCUAAUUAUAGCAGGAAUGUUGCAAUACACUCCUGGAGGAACACAGGGUUUCAACUUUGAAGAGGUUUAGUCUUGUUGAAGUUAACUAGAAAUUUGAGCAACAUAUACAGCAGAGUCAGUGACCAAUAAAAAGAAAAUAAACUUUAAAAAUGUUUCUCAAAUGCUCUUUCAAUCACUUAAUGAAGCCUGUUUCUUGAUUCUUUAAAAUCUUCGAACUGGAAUGAGUCUGUUUGCUGAAUUGGAGGACACAAAAAACAAUCUUUUCAUUGUAAUAGAUCCAGACAGAAGUGCUAAGCGGCCAUUGACAGGGUAGUGCAUCAAGUGGACGCCUUAGCACGGAGGAUGCUGCAUCUAUAUGCGUGGAAGCACUUGAAGUAGUUCCACAAGCAAGAUUCACAUUUGAGGUUGUCCAUGGAGCAGAGGGAAGGUUUCAGAUUGGAAAGAGUGUUUGACUACAAUGAUGGAAAAAACAGAGCUGCAGCUACCAUGACCAUAUUCAACCCAAAUACCAAGUGCACCCAUUUGUUUGUUUUGAAUUUUUUUUUUCUUUUUCCUAUGAAGUUUUCAGUAAGUUGGUUAUUAGUAAAUUUGUUUGUCCUGCUUUUGGACUGCAAAAGUUUACAUUGAAGUUGGUGUACUGCAAUUUUACAUGACAAUGGUAUGAAUGCUGAUUUUGAAGGCAAACUGAAAGAUUUGACCUAAAGAAGCCAU